AUGGAGAAGACCGUGGGGAAGAGCAGCGCCACACCUGGGCGCCGGUGGUGGCGGCGGCUGCGGGGAGGGCGGCGGUGGGGCUGGCGGCGGCAGACGAGGGAAAGGGUGAGGGAGAGGAAUUGGGGAUGGGGACUGGGGGCUACGCCGCUGGCCAAUCUCUUUCUCACUUUCUUCUCGGCGAAGGGGACCUUUUUGUCUCAUACCGUUGCGGACGUGGACAUCGCGAGGGCUCGUCCUUGA
rnacentral:rRNA from 1 species